AACGAACGCUGGCGGCGUGUUUAAGACAUGCAAGUCGCACGGGAUAAGACAUGUAGUAAUACUUGUUUUAUUUAGUGGCGCAUGGGUGAGUAACACGUGAAUUACAUGCCCUAUAGUGGGGAAUAGCCCAGGGAACCUUGGAUUAUUACCACAUGGUAUCGAAAGAUCAAAGGUGGCGGCAUGGCUGUCGCUAUAGGAUUGGUUCGCGCCCUAUCAUCUUGUUGGUGAGGUAACGGCUAACCAAGGCAAUGACGGGUACCUGGUCUCAGAGGACGAUCAGGCACACUGGAACUGAGACACGGUCCAGACACCUACGGGUGGCAGCAGUCGAGAAUAAUUCGCAAUGGGGGCAACCCUGAUGGUGCAACGCCGCGUGGAGGAUGACGGUCUUCGGAUUGUAAACUCCUGUCAUCUGGGAGAAAGACCUGACGGUAAAUAGCCGGCAGGGUUGAUAGUACCAGAAGAGGAAGGGACGGCUAACUUCGUGCCAGCAGCCGCAGUAA
rnacentral:rRNA from 1 species